CCACUUUUGUUUCAUAUAUAAGUUUCUACAAAAUGACAACACCUUAGAUAAAGCUGAAGUUCAUGUUUCAUUCUGCAUCCCUUCCCCCAAGGGCUUCUUUUGCUCAAUAUGGGACUCAUGAGAGUCAUCGGUGUUGUGUGAGGCAGCUGUUUGUUGAUUUUCUGGACCAAAUAAUGUUCCACCGUGUGACUGGACAUACCUUAGUCUAUCCAUUCUACCACUGAUGAGCAUGUCCCACACUUACAGGGAAAGCAUCACCCGAAAGUGAGAAUGCCUAGAGGCAGGAAUCAUGGAGGCUUCCUUAACCGUCUGUCUGCAACAGCAGGUGCUAGAGAUGACACUGCAGAGUAGAGAACAAAGGAAUCUUAGUAAUUGUUCAAUCCAAUCUCCACACUUUAAAGAUGAAGAAACUGGUAUUGAGAAAAAUACACAGCUUAUCCAAGGUUGCACUGCUGGUUGGUAGCUGAGAUGAAUUUAGAACCCACAUCUGAUGACUACACCAUAUUGCUCCCAGUUUUCCUGUCUGUUCCACAUGUAAAAGUCUGACUCUUCACUUCUCCUUUGAGUAUAUAGACUUUUAACAUUUUUGUAUGUCAAGAUGGACUUUUCCUCAUACCCAGCCCCUGCCUUUUCUCCUCCCUUCAUACCUUGCAGGAUCUUUAACAGAAUUUAAAAGGAGUUUUUUGUUUUGUUUUGAUGUAUCUAAUAAAAGUCAAGGGAGGGAGAGGGCCAGUAUAA
rnacentral:lncRNA from 1 species